GGUUAUGAGUCAGGUUUUUGAAAACUUUGAGGUUGAUGUGCAACUUCUCCGGCCAACAGAUAUUGAGAAGCAACAACCUUACUGGAGUUGGGGUGAUGAUGACAACGAAGAACCAAUGGUUGAAUUAUUUGGGGAUGAGGCCGAAGAAAAAACCGGCACUUCUAGUGAAGAAAAAGACGCGGAUGUUGAGGAAACAGCCACCCUUCCCUCCUCUUCUAAGGCCAAAGGGUCUGUUAAUGACG